AAGCACUUCUCCAUUUAUUACUGUCUUACAAACAUUGUAAGAACGGCAAGAAUAAAGGUUAGAGGAGCCACCAGCAGCCGUUGCAUGUUCUCUUCGUCCUCAGUCAACAUCUCACCUGGCCAUGUUCUUUACAUGGCAGUAUGACUCAAACCUUCCGUCAAAAUUCAUUAGAAGCAUCAGCUCUGCCCUCCAGCUGUUCUGCUCCAGACUGUCAUCCCUGACAGCUGCUCUACAGGGUAUCACGGCACACACCGCAGUGCAUCCUGAUGUCUGGCUUCCGGGAACUCCAACGUGUCAACAGAAAAGAUGAUCUGAGAUGGGCCUAAUCAGAGAGAGGUAUGUUCGCAUAUUUCUGGGCACCCCUAAAGAACUCAGGGAUGCUGCUAUUACACAAACUUGGAUAUUUUAGGAAAACAUGUAGGCCAGCUGAUAAAUUCAUAUCAUUUUGCAUUCCAUGAGAAUUUCUAAAGAUAUUUAAUGAGAAGAUGGGAGAGGAGCUGACAUCUACUAAGCUUCUGCUAUGUGUCAGGAAUUCGACAGAUGCUUUACAAAUAUUGUUUCACUGCAUCCGUAGCACAGAGUAAUCAGUACAAACUCAGACUCCGGAGCUAGAGUGUCUAGGUUUGAAUCUCAACUCAGUUAAUUACCAGUUGUGUUACCUUGAAAGAAAUAUUUAACCUCCCAGUUCCUCAGUUGCUUCAUCUGUAAAUGAGGAUAGGAAUGGUAUCUGCCUCAUUAGGCUGCUAUGAAAGUUAGAGUUAAUACCUGCACAGGGCAGAGCACAGAGCAAAGACUAUAAAAGUACAUGCUUGCCAAAUAAAAUCGCCAUGCACGAUAAAUUAUUUUGCCAUAUUUUACAGAUGAGGAAACUGAGGCACGCCCAAGUUCACACAGUUACAAUGUGGUAGAAUCUGUCUAAUACUCGCUGAGAACUUAUGAUGUACCAGACACUACUCUAAGUGACUUACUAGCAUCAACCCAAUUAAUCCUCACAUCCACCCUAAAAGAUGGAUAUUGUUAUCCCCAUUUUACCAUACGAGGAAACUGACUUGCCACGGGGUACAUAUUCGGAUAACGGUGAAUCCAGGAACUGAGCCCGGGUUUCGGCUCCGGAGCCUGGGUGCUCAGUUCCAAAUAGCAUCCUGUGUCCGUUUCUUGACCUACCGCUGUUGGACACUACUGUGUGCCCACCACUGAGCGAGGCAUAUUUUGGGAUAAAAAGAAGUAAAUGUCACAAUGGUUACUUUAAAAUUAAUAAUUUAAUGCCAUAUUUUUAUCUUCUCGUAGGAUAGAUUAUUGGCAAUAACAGCAUAUGAAAAUAAGCUUGCCCUUAAGUCUCGGUUCUGCCAAUUACUAACUUUAAUAACCCUGGGCCCAUCACUCAAGCUCCUGGAGCCUCAGAGUCCUCACCUAAACAAGUAUAGUUGAUAAUACCUACUGGGCAGUGGUGUUCAUAAAGACUGAAUAAGAUCCUCUAGGCAUGGUGUUCAAUAACUGUGAACCCCAUCUCUUCAUUUCAUUUCUCUGUGCCUCAGAAGAAACGAUAAACUAGAAUUAGAAACACAGAUAUUGUUGACGCACGAUUUAUAAUAAAGUUUCUGGAUGACAGGUAAGAGAGUUCCACAGUUGACUCUUGAAUUGGAGUU